GCGGUCGUGGCGGAAUGGCAGACGCGCCAGCUUGAGGGGCUGGUGUCCUUAAGGAUGUGGAAGUUCGAGUCUUCUCGGCCGCA
rnacentral:tRNA from 3 species